rnacentral:rRNA from 1 species
AAGAACACCAGGGGRCGAAGGCGAAUUUUCGGGACGAUAAUUGACGCUGAGGCAUGAAAGGGUGGGGAGCAAACAGGAUUGAUACCGUGGUAGUCCACGCCGUAAACGAUGAAUACUGGGGUGUAGGAGGUAUUGACUCCUUCUGUGCCGCAGUUAACACAUUAAGUAUUCCGCCUGGGGAGUACGAUCGCAAGAUUAAAACUCAAAGGAAUUGAAGGGGGCCCGCACAAGCAGCGGAGCAUGUGGUUUAAUUGGAAGCAACGCGAAGAACCUUACCUAGACUUGACAUCUCCUGCAUUACUCUUAACAGAGGAAGUCCUUCGGGACAGGAUGACAGGUGGUGCAUGGUUGUCGUCAGCUCGUGUCGUGAGAUGUUGGGUUAAGUCCCGCAACGAGCGCAACCCUUAUCAUUAGUUGCUACCAUUAAGUUGAGCACUCUAGUGAGACUGCCCGGGUUAACCGGGAGGAAGGUGGGGACGACGUCAAAUCAUCAUGCCCCUUAUGUCUAGGGCUACACACGUGGCACAAUGGUAGGUACAACAAGAUGCAAUACCGUGAGGUGGAGCUAAACUCAAAAACCUAUCCCAGUUCGGAUUGUAGGCUGAAACUCGCCUACAUGAAGCCGGAGUUGCUAGUAAUCGCGAAUCAGCAUGUCGCGGUGAAUACGUUCCCGGGCCUUGUACACACCGCCCGUCACACCAUGAGAGCCGUUAACACCCGAAGUCCGUGAGGUAACCGUAAGGAGCCAGCGGCUGACGGUGAGAUUGGCGAUUGGGGUGAAGUCGAGCAAUUUGCCCUCC